rnacentral:rRNA from 1 species
UACGGAGGGUGCGAGCGUUGUCCGGAAUCACUGGGCGUAAAGGGCGCGUAGGCGGCGCAGGAAGUCAACGGUGAAAGUUCAGGGCUCAACCCUGAAUCGGCCGUCGAUACUCCUGGGCUCGAGCACUGUAGAGGCAGAUGGAAUUCCGGGUGUAGCGGUGGAAUGCGUAGAGAUCCGGAAGAACACCGGUGGCGAAGGCGGUCUGCUGGGCAGUUGCUGACGCUGAUGCGCGACAGCGUGGGGAGCAAACAGGAGU